GCCGCCCGCUGGCCGCGUGCUUAACACAUGCAAGUCGAACGGAAAGGCCCUGCUUUUGUGGGGUGCUCGAGUGGCGAACGGGUGAGUAACACGUGAGUAACCUGCCCUUGACUUUGGGAUAACUUCAGGAAACUGGGGCUAAUACCGGAUAGGAGCUCCUGCUGCAUGGUGGGGGUUGGAAAGUUUCGGCGGUUGGGGAUGGACUCGCGGCUUAUCAGCUUGUUGGUGGGGUAGUGGCUUACCAAGGCUUUGACGGGUAGCCGGCCUGAGAGGGUGACCGGCCACAUUGGGACUGAGAUACGGCCCAGACUCCUACGGGAGGCAGCAGUGGGGAAUAUUGCACAAUGGGCGGAAGCCUGAUGCAGCAACGCCGCGUGCGGGAUGACGGCCUUCGGGUUGUAAACCGCUUUCGCCUGUGACGAAGCGUGAGUGACGGUAAUGGGUAGAGAAGCACCGGCUAACUACGUG
rnacentral:rRNA from 1 species